rnacentral:rRNA from 1 species
UACGUAGGGGGCAAGCGUUGUCCGGAUUUAUUGGGCGUAAAGAGCGUGUAGGCGGCCAUGUAUGUCCGUUGUGAAAACUCGAGGCUCAACCUCGAGACGCCGAUGGAAACCAUGUGGCUCGAGUCCGGAAGAGGAGAGUGGAAUUCCUGGUGUAGCGGUGAAAUGCGCAGAUAUCAGGAAGAACACCCGUGGCUAAGGCGGCUCUCUAGUACGGUACUGACGCUGAGACGCGAAAGCGUGGGGAGCGAACAGG